GACGAAGGAUGCAAGCGUUAUCCGGAUUCAUUGGGUUUAAAGGGAGCGUAGGCGGCCUGGUAAGUCAGGGGUGAAAUCCUGGAGCUCAACUCCAGAACUGCCUUUGAUACUGGCGACCUUGAGUCCGGGAGAGGUGAGUGGAACUGCGAGUGUAGAGGUGAAAUUCGUAGAUAUUCGCAAGAACACCAGUGGCGAAGGCGGCUCACUGGCCCGGUACUGACGCUGAGGUGCGAAAGCGUGGGGAGCAAACAGG
rnacentral:rRNA from 1 species